UACGGAGGCAGCAGUGGGGAAUAUUGGACAAUGGGCGAAAGCCUGAUCCAGCCAUGCCGCAUGAGUGAAGAAGGCCUUCGGGUUGUAAAGCUCUUUUAGUGAGAAAGAUAAUGACGGUACUCACAGAAGAAGUCCUGGCUAACUCCGUGCCAGCAGCCGCGGUAAUACGGAGAGGGCUAGCGUUAUUCGGAAUUAUUGGGCGUAAAGAGCGCGUAGGCUGAUUAGUAAGUUAAAAGUGAAAUCCCAAAGCUUAACUUUGGAAUUGCUUUUUAAAACUGCUAGUCUAGAGAUUGAAAGAGGAUAGAGGAAUUCCUAGUGUAGAGGUGAAAUUCGUAAAUAUUAAGGAGGAAACAACCAGUGGCGAAAGGCGUCUAUCUGGUUCAAAUCUGACGCUGAGGCGCGAAGGGCGUGGGGAGCAAAACAGGGAUUAAGAUACCCGU
rnacentral:rRNA from 1 species